GCUGGCGGCGUGCAUUAGACAUGCAAGUCGAACGAACGACCUCGGGCUUGCCUGGGGAAGUUAGUGGCGAACGGCUGAGUAACGCGUGGGUGACCUGCCCAGAAGUGGGGAAUAACUGCCCGAAAGGGUGGCUAAUACCGCAUGUGGAUAUAGGUUCGUACCUAUCUCCAAAGCCUUCGGGCGCUUCUGGAGGGGCCUGCGUUCGAUUAGCUCGUUGGUGGGGUAAUGGCUCACCAAGGCGAC
rnacentral:rRNA from 1 species